rnacentral:rRNA from 1 species
CCUACGGGAGGCAGCAGUGGGGAAUAUUGGACAAUGGGGGGAACACUGAACCAGCGACGCCGCGUGAGUGAAGAAGGAUUUCGGUAUGUAAAGCUCUAUCAGCAGGGAAGAAAAAGACGGUACCUGACUAAGAAGCCCCGGCUAACUACGUGCCAGCAGCCGCGGUAAUACGUAGGGGGCAAGCGUUAUCCGGAUUUACUGGGUGUAAAGGGAGCGUAGACGGUGCAGCAAGACGGAUGUGAAAGGUCGGGGCCCAACCCCGGGACUGCAUUGGAAACUGUUGUACUGGAGUACAGGGGAGGUAAGCGGAAUUCGUGGUGUAGCGGUGAAAUGCGUAGAUAUUAGGAGGAACACCGAUGGCGAAGGCGGCUUACGGGACUGUAACUGACGUUGAGGCUCGAAAGCGUGGGGAGCGAACAGGAUUAGAUACCCGUGUAGUC